GGACAGGAUCAUAGUCUAGUGUUAAGGACACAAUGAUGGGGCAUCCCAUUGGUGGGUGAAGGAAGCAAGGUGGCAGGGUUUUGAGAGUGACAUAUGGUGAUGUGAGAGGGAGAGAGUAGUAAGAUUUCAUGAGAGGUAAGUCAAGAUGCAGAAAAGUACUGUUUUUUUUUUUUAAGAUUUUAUUUAUUUAUUCAUGAGAGACAGAGAGGCAGAGAUGCAGGCAGAGGGAGAAGCAGGCUCCCUGUGGGGAGCCCAAUGUGGGACUUGAUCCCAGGACUCUGGGAUCUCGCCCUGAGCCAAAGGCAGAUGCUCAACCCUUGAGCCACCCAGGCACCCCCCCCCCCCACCAUUAGUUCUUUUUAAUGGCCAAAGUGGGAGUAUUGCAGGGAUUAGAAGUGGGGAUUACAAGUUCUUUUGUCUAACAAACCUUGGAUUAUCGAGUGGGGCCCUUCAAGUCCUUCUGGCUUUAAAUGACACUGAGGGAUCCUGGGAGGGGCAUGGAAAGAUCUAUCUUUACCUUAGGGGGUUCUCUAUCUCUAUGUGUCCAUAUUAGUGGAGGUUUCUUUGUCCAUAAAGAAGAGGGAAUCCUGUUAAUAAUUGAUUUCUAUAUUCAGUGAGGAGGUGUCAGUUGAAGGGGGCAGAGGACCCUCAGGGAAGUCAGACAGAGCCGGUAGGAGACUUACAUGAAAGGAAGGAAUCAGGGACUUGUAGAAGGAAUCCUUCUAGGGCACGAUGACCUUUUAUCUCCCAACUCAUGAGAAGCUUCCUUCCUACCAGGCUUCCAGGGUGGCAGAACUGACAAGGAAGUUGCGCUGAGCUUCAGGAGGUCCCCUGGAAAUAUUAAGGGGUGGAGACAGAGGCAGAUCAGGAGGAGUCAGGAGAGUCCUUGAUGAUGACAUGUUGAUUCUGAGACCAAGUUUUAAAUGGCGUCUCUUCUGUCAACCUGGCUUGAGAAUGGAGGCGGCAUCCCUUGUGACCAGACCCUGAGGCUCCCAGUAGUUGGGUUCUGGGAACUGCAGUCACCUCUGGGCUCCCAGGUGGUUUGUACACCCAUCCAUCACAGGGGUCUGUGGUCCUACAUGGUCUGGCCAGCACCUAAGGCCUGAGGGGACUGGCAGGACAGACACCGUGGGCCCUAGCCUUGGGUCACCCAGUGUUAAAUGUCAUCUGUGAUUUGCUAAUAUCACUGCAUCUAGAACCUCCCACCUGGCAGUUUUUGUUUUUUUGGAGCCUUUCUGAAUUAAAGUGCAGACACCUGGUUUCAUGGCAGCUUCACUGAGACUCCAAGGUGUUGUGAGGUGGUGUACAAACGCCUAGAGAUUAGAAACCAGGCCUGGGAGGGGUGGGGAGGGGUUAUUGGGGGUGGGGCACUGCCCCAGCACUAAUUUACUGGGCAAUCCUGAGCAAGUUCUUUCCCCUCUUUUGGGCUGCCUCUUCAUUUGUAAGAGGGUUCUGGCUCAGAUAGUGGCUGAAGUCCCUCAUAAAGGCAAGGCACUGUGGGUUGGAACCAGGCCCAGGGCCGCACCCCCAUCCUUGGCUGCCACCCCCCUACCCCCACCCUCAUGGGCCCCUCAGGCUCCUGGUACUAAGAUAAGGAAUAAACAAACAAGCCAAACAUGUGAGAUGAGCA
rnacentral:lncRNA from 12 species